rnacentral:rRNA from 1 species
CGUAGGUGGUAGUGAAAGUCUAUGGUGGAAUCUUAGGGCUUAACCCUAAAACUGCCUUGGAAACUUCAUUACUUGAGUCAGUGAGGGGAGGGUAGAAUUCCUGGUGUAGCGGUGAAAUGCGUAGAUAUCAGGGGGAAGGCCGGUGGCGAAGGCGGCCCUCUGGCGCUGAACUGACGCUGAGGCGCGAAAGCGUGGGUAGCAAACAGGAUUAGAUACCCUGGUAGUCCACGCCCUAAACGGUGGGUACUAGGUGUAGGGCUCGUAAGGGUUCUGUGCCGAAGGGAAACCAUUAAGUACCCCGCCUGGGGAGUACGGCCGCAAGGUUGAA